rfam:Felis catus isolate Cinnamon breed Abyssinian chromosome X, whole genome shotgun sequence.
GCCUGGGUGGCUCAGUCGGUUGAGCGUCCGACUUCGGCUCAGGUCACGAUGUUGCGGUCCGCGAGUUCGAGCCCCGCGUCGGGCU